rnacentral:rRNA from 1 species
AGCGAACGCUAGCGGAUGGCUUAACACAUGCAAGUCGAGCGGGUAGCAAUACCAGCGGCGAACGGGUGCGUAACACGUAGGUAAUCUGCCUUUUGGUGGGGAAUAACACAACGAAAGUCGUGCUAAUACCGCAUAUGGCCCAAGGGUCAAAGCAGCAAUGCGCCAAGAGAUGAGCCUGCGGCCCAUUAUUUAAUCCUAGUUGGCGGGGUAACGGCCCACCAAGGGUACGAUGGGUAGCUGGUCUGAGAGGACGAUCAGCCACACUGGGACUGAGACACGGCCCAGACUCCUACGGGAGGCAGCAGUGGGGAAUAUUGCGCAAUGGGCGAAAGCCUGACGCAGCC